AAAGAAUUAGUUAAAUCUAUUAACAUUAAAUUGUCAAUUUAAAAUCAUUAUUUAAAUUAAUAUUCUUUA
rnacentral:tRNA from 1 species